AGAUCUGAAAAUAAAAAUAUACAUCGAUCUCAUCGAUGCUGAAAUUCUAGAGUUAACUAUUGGAUCUAACGAUAUGAAAAAAAUAAAUUAGUAAUAACUAUUAAAUCAAUUUUUUCUUGAUCUUCUCUAGUCCAACACUUGGAAAGGAUAUUCCUCAGAUCACUCACAUCCACAUAAAAAUAUCUGGCCUCUACAAGAAAAUCCAUGCGA
rnacentral:lncRNA from 1 species